GAUGAACGCUGGCGGCGUGCCUAAUACAUGCAAGUCGAGCGAACAGAUAAGGAGCUUGCUCCUUUGACGUUAGCGGCGGACGGGUGAGUAACACGUGGGUAACCUACCUAUAAGACUGGAAUAACUCCGGGAAACCGGGGCUAAUGCCGGAUAACAUUUAGAACCGCAUGGUUCUAAAGUGAAAGAUGGUUUUGCUAUCACUUAUAGAUGGACCCGCGCCGUAUUAGCUAGUUGGUAAGGUAACGGCUUACCAAGGCAACGAUACGUAGCCGACCUGAGAGGGUGAUCGGCGACACUGGAGCUGAGACACGGCCCAGACUCCUACGGGAGGCAGCAGUAGGGAAUCUUCCGCAAUGGGCGAAAGCCUGACGGAGCAACGCCGCGUGAGUGAUGAAGGUCUUCGGAUCGUAAAACUCUGUUAUUAGGGAAGAACAAAUGUGUAAGUAACUGUGCACGUCUUGACGGUACCUAAUCAGAAAGCCACGGCUAACUACGUG
rnacentral:rRNA from 1 species